rnacentral:lncRNA from 1 species
GAACUCUCAAAAGCAGAACAAAAUUAAAACAAAAGGGAAAUGGGAGGGAAAAGAUAAGAAAAGCCAAAGAAUCAGUCUCCAGAGUGCAGCAUCUAACAAUUAGGAGUUCCAGAAAGAGAAGAGAGAAAAUGGAGGGAAGAUAUUAUCAAAGAAGCAAUUUUCUAAAUUUCCAGAACUGAAACUCAUAUAUCUCCUUAUUGAAAGGGCACAUGGAUUACCUAGCACAAUGAGUGAAAAAAGACAAAACCCCAGGAAGCUACUAGUGAAAGUGCUCCAGUCAAAUAGAGUAAACCAAGAAAGAAGAUGCAGAAAUUGUUACCUAACAUAGGAGAGAGAUGGAGGGAAGUUCCACAAUGACUGCAGAAAAUGAUACUCCUGUAAAGGAGUAAGAGGAAGUGGGGCUCCAAGAAAGAGUGAAAUUUCUACUCUUCUGGCACAAAUGACAGCUCAUCUGUGAAGCAUUCUGGCCCAGCCAUAGAGCUUUUUUGUGUGUGUUCUUUUUAACCUGUAUUCACAUGGUAUUUUGUAUAAAAACUGAUUAUGCCAUGUCUGGAUUUCCAUAAACUCAAAG